AAACUUCUUUGAAGUUCUGUUUCCUGCAGUCUUCUGUUUCUACUUGGUUCCUUGUUCGGUUCUUUAUGUCUGUUCCAUAACAGAGGAUUCCCUUGGACAUCUGAUGAUCCUUUACUGAUUUUUCCUGUAUGUAAGUGAGGAAAUACAAAGUUCCAGGUGCACAGAUGGGACCUGUCAAUGUGUCAGACCUCAUGGUAGAGGGAUUGAAAUUAAAACAUCAACAUCAAUAUCUGCAGAUCUUCUCCCUUGAGAUAAUCAGUUUCCAUAAAAAGGCAUCUUCCUAGUUGCUGCUUUGGUGGUGUGGGGUGGAGGGUGGGUACAGCAACGAAGUCUGUCUACCAGCAUUUAGUACACUGAGUGAGGGAAGACCAUCGCAGGGUGGGAAGUUUUCAGCUUCACUUCGCAACCCAGGCUCUGGAAGUAUGUCAUCUUCCAAUUGCUUCAUCAUUGCCUACUCUCCUAACCACAGGCAUAGCGCGUCAGAAGACUGAAACCCAACUCAGCCAACCAUCUAUUCACAUGCCAUCAUCCACGAGUUUGUUGACAUCUCUCAUUUGCUGUUGUCUCUCCUCAUUCUUUCUGUCCUCAUAGGUUUAUAAGUUUUCAUUUUCUUUCUUUAAAAACUCAUUUUAAGGACACCAUUAUUUUUAAAAAAAGCAAUAGAAAAUAACAAGUAUGGGCAAAGACGUGGAGAAAUUGGAACCGUCGCACACUGCUGGUGGAAAUGUAAAAUGGCAGAGUUCUUCAAAAAAUUAAAGUUCCAUUAUCAUAUGAUCCAGCAAUUCCACUUCUGAGCAUAUACUUAAAAUAAUUGAAAGCAGGGACUUGAAAAGAAAUUUGUACACCCAGGUUGGGUGUCGUGGCUCACACCUGUAAUCCAGCACUUUGGGAGGCUGAGGCAGGUGGAUCACCUGAGGUCAGGGGUUCGAGACCAGCCUGGCCAACAUGGUGAAACCCCGUCUCUACUAAAAAUUCAAAAAUUAGCCGGGGGUGGUGGCGCAUGCCUGUAAUCCCAGCUACUUGGGAGGCAGAGGCAGGAGAAUUGUUUGAAUCCAGGAGACAGAGAUUGCAAUGAGCCGAGAUUGCGCCAUUGCACUCUAGCCUGGGUAACAGAGUGAGAUUCCACCUCAAAAAAAAAAAAAGAAAGGAAAAAAAACAAAAGAAAAAAGGAAUUUGUACACCCACAUUCAUGACAGCAUUAUUCACAACAUCCAGAUAGUGGAAGCAACCCAAAUGUGCAUCAACAGAUAAAUGGACAAGCAAAAUAUGAUAUAUGUGUACAAUGGGAUAUUAUUCAGCCUUAAAAAGGAAGGUUCUGUGGUUUGGCAUUACAUAGGGAAAAAUUUAAAAAGGAAGGAAAUGCUGACAUAUGCUACACUGGUGAACCUUGAAGACAUUAUGCUAAGUAAAGUAAGACGGUCACAAAUACAUUAUAAUUCCACUUAUGUGAGGUACCUAGAGUAGUAAAAUUCAUAGAGACAGAAAGUAGAAUGGUGGUUGCCAGGGGCUAGAGGGAAAGGAAGUAAGAAGUUAUUGUUUAAUGGGUGGGAACUUUCAGUUUUACAAGGUGAAAAGGUUCCAGAGAUAAAUGGUGGUGAUGGUUGUGCAACAAUGUGAAUGUACUUAGUGCCGCUGAACUGUCCACUUAAAAAUGGUUAAAGUGGUAAAUUUCAUUUCAUGUGUAUUUACCACAAUAAAAAAGUCAAUGAGCCAAUAUAUAAAAAUCUAUUUCAGAACUCUCUGUUCUGUUUCAAUUAGCUAUAUGUUUAUCCCUUUGCCAAAUGUUACACUGCCUUAUAAUAAAUAAAUCAGACCAAAGCCACUCUCUGUUUUGAAAAUUUCCAAUGAGUUCUCAUUGUGCUAUGAAUAAGACCUGGCCUGCCUAUUUCUCUCCACCCUCAUUCCCCCUUCUCUGCCUCGUGACCACACAGGCUCCAGGCCGCCCAGAAGUGGCUCGCAGCCUCGAGGCCCACAGCACAUGCAGUCAGGGCUGUGUAAGAGGUGUGUGCUGAGGACCAUGGGAGCACGGAGGAGGGUGAGGGCUCCACAGAGGUGUUGCUGUGAGUUGAGCAAGAAGGGAGGACCACCUCUUAAUAUAGCAUCUGCCCCAGGGGAGCAGCAGUAGGGGUGACUUACAGGGCUGGGGCUGGCGCCCAAGGGUUUGUAGGGAAAGGGUGAACCCAGUUUGCACUAGAAGCGAGAUAGCUCCCAACAGCCCUGCCCGCCUUAGGAGGGGUCCUCGGAGACCCCAGGUUGUGAGCCGAGGCAGAUUCCAGGUCGUGCCAGCACAUAAACAGCUCUUGCUGAACCAGAGUAGCUCUCCUCAGCCACUUCCGCCUGAUCUAUUGGCUCUUGCCAACUUAGUUCCACAGGGCACAGCCCUCUCACAAGCUAUUGCUCAGGAAUUUUAGGGCAAUGGCCCAGGGGUUGCAGAAAAGAAAAGAAACACAUACCAACAAC
rnacentral:lncRNA from 10 species